rnacentral:miRNA from 1 species
UUUCCUCAGAUACAUUCAGGAGUGU